rnacentral:rRNA from 1 species
CCUACGGGAGGCAGCAGUGAGGAAUAUUGGUCAAUGGGCGGAAGCCUGAACCAGCCAAGUAGCGUGCGGGAUGAAGGCCCUACGGGUCGUAAACCGCUUUUGCACGGGGAUAAAACCCUCCACUUGUGGAGGUCUGCAGGUACCGUGCGAAUAAGGGCCGGCUAAUUCCGUGCCAGCAGCCGCGGUAAUACGGAGGGCCCGAGCGUUAUCCGGUUUUAUUGGGCUUAAAGGGAGCGUAGGCGGGCGUUCAAGUCAGCGGGAAAAUAGUGCGGCUAAACCGCGCCUCGCAGUUGAAACUGGACGCCUUGAGUUCACAACAGGCAGGCGGAAUGCGUGGUGUAGCGGUGAAAUGCAUAGAUAGCACGAGGAACCCCGAUUGCGAAGGCAGCCUGCCGGGGUGCGACUGACGCUGAGGCUCGAAGGUGCGGGUAUCAAACAGGAUUAGAUACCCGAGUAGUC